rnacentral:rRNA from 1 species
GACGGGGGGUCCAAGCGUUGUUCGGAAUCAUUGGGCGUAAAGCGUGUGCAGGUAGUUUUGUAAGUUGGAUGUGAAAGCCCCGGGCUUAACCCGGGAAGUGCAUUCAAAACUGCAAAACUUGAGUAUGGAAGAGGGUCGUGGAAUUCCUGGUGUAGUGGUGAAAUGCGCAGAUAUCAGGAAGAACACCCGUGGCGAAGGCGGCUCUCUGGGACGGUACUGACGCUGAGACGCGAAAGCGUGGGGAGCGAACAGG